CUGUGGUAACUCUAACGAGAGGGUCAAAUAGAUUGAAAAGCCAGCCGUGGCCGAAAUUUUUCAACUGAAACAAGGCUGCGAAAUUUUCGCGAGUUUUCCAAUAUGGUUCUUUUAAGCGACACCAUUUUAGAAAAAGCUUAUGUAUUCUUACCUCAGCGUUCUACUUUUCAUGUUAUUAUGAAAUAUUUAUAGGCACGAAAAAGCUAGUCCCAUAAAGAGCGAAGACAUGUACUUAAAGAACAGGGGAAUUAUCAAUUACAAAAAUUGAGAUAUGUUACUUAAGGGGAAGUUAACCUCUAGUUAGUGGGUUGAUAGAGUGCCAGGCAGGGCCGUCCGAGGGUCAGGGCUAUGUCCGAGGGUCAGAGCUAAAUAGUACUGAAGAAAAAAGGAUUAUGGGAAGUAAAGAUAAAAACUUUGUUCAUUAUAUUGCAGAAUAAUGUUUAACAAUUACUUUUUCCGUACAUUCUUUCGAUUUGAAAGAUAAAACCUUGUGUUUUAGAAAUAACACCAGAGCCAUAAGCUUGGUUUCGCGUCGAGAAUUUGCGUCACUCGAUGGAGCCCUCAGUAUCGUAUCAAAGCCCGUGGUUAAAAAAACGCACAAACAACGCCUAAAACUGGAAAAACAUUACUAUCAAGUUACGCUCGAGUGAAUUUGAUCAUGUGAUGACACAAAACUGUUUACUAUUCUAACUGGAAAGAAAGGAAGCUUGUACAAGCGCAUAUCCAGCAAGCAAACGGUACAAGAAUCAAUGUGAAGAAAAUUUUAUCAAUGUGAAGCAAUCCUUUAAACAAGUGCCCUCAUGAACAAGAUCAAGAAUUAAAAUAAGUGCUCUUUGGUCAUAUAUAAAGGCACUCUCUUAAUUAUUCCUUCAAGAUUUCUUAAGAUCAUCAUUCCUCCUUCCAGCACCCCUGUUGAAGAAAUGAGAGGGUUGGAACAAAAUUCUGAAAUUGAAAAUUUCUUGCAACCACUUUCAACUAUAUAUAUACAAUUUUGGAAAAGGUAGCCUCCCCUUUUAUUUUACCUGUUUAUUACAUUUCAGACUUGGCCAUGACAUACCCACACAACACCACCCAACCCUACCCCCAACCCUACCCCCAACAUUUUAAGUCAACCUCCUUUAUUCCUGAUCUCAAAGUUGGUGUUCUAAUGUAAAAAAUUACAGCAGAGGGGGGGGCUAUUCCACAAAGAGAGGGCAGAGAGGGGCUUGAUUUGAUUAUUACAGUACCUGCCUGGUAAUUAUUGCCAUUGAUUUAUUUUGGGAACAGAAACAACAGGUCAUCAACAAAUUAAUUAGAUCAGUGAGCAGUUGAUCACCUUUCUGGUUAAUGAAAAUGAAUGCAAAAGUACCUUUUUAAUGUUUCCCUUACCGAACAGCGGAAUGAAUAGAGUACAUAUCUUGAAGUAAUUUCUACUAUCUUAACGCUCACUGCCAUACGUGACGCUGGUAAACCAAAAAAAAUCAAUGACGCAGACAAUGGUAUCGGAAACCGCCAUGUCUAAGACAAAUUCAAUGCGUUUUGACCAGCUCAUUAAACUACGUGGUUGAAUUUUGACUCAUGAAUUAACAAUGUUUAGCCUUUCACGUAACAAAAAUGUUGAUUGUUGUGAGAUAGGUGUUGUACUAGGUCUCUACCAUUUGCCCAAAUCGGCCUUUACAAAACAUGAAUGAAAGUUUAAUUUACGAGACAACACUUGUACCGUAUGUGAAAUUUAUAAGAAUGCUUUCUUUUUAUGUCCGUGUAACACAAUACUGGAUUUAGCUCAUUGAAAUGCAUCGUUCUGAAAUUAAAUCGCCUCUAGCAUGUUGAUGUUCAGGGCGACUUUGUUUGUAGAUGCAUUGUCGCCGCUUGAAACGUUCAACAAGAAUGGGAUUACAGAGCUUUAUUCAUCGGGUGGCUGAAGGCAUAGUUAAUGUCACAUUUCAUCGUACUGAUACUGUUUUUAAAAGACUUUUUGAAGGCAUACAGCUUGAAAGAUCUAAGGAAUUACUUCUGUAUGUCAAUUCUGUAUUACUUCAGCAAAAUUAACCUUUAAUUUUUUAAACGCAUUAUUUUGUAACUUUAUUUUAACUCAAUCAAACUUCCUUCAUCUUUUGAUGCAAUUUGCAUAAUCUAAUGCUGCGAAUAUAUAUAAAAAGAAAUGAAAUGAAAUAGAAAGCAUAAAGAGAGGAGACUCUGAAAAACCCCGAUAGGAUCCCAUGAAUGAAGUUCUAUAUAUACCGGGUGCCCAUGCCACAACAUCUCUACAAUAUAAGUUAGCACAUUGAACAAGAAAAAUUAUGGCCGAAAAGCCAAAAACACGAUAUAAAAUUCAACCAGAAAUCAUGGUUGGUUACGCCCUGCUUUAGUUUUGUACUUUCCAGACAAAAACAGCCGCAAGAUAUGUUUAGGCCAUUGUAGUACUCGUGGCUUUGCAGAGCACGUGUUUUGUAAGCGAUGAGGCCAGUUAAUCAUGAAAUAAUUAAUGUUAAAUACUGGUAGUGGUAACAAAAACAUAUAUUUCAUCAAACUAACAAACUUACAAAUUUCUUCAAGAUCUGUAGCUGUUAUUCUCCUCUUCCCAAUCAAGCAACUCCCGCGUGGAUUGUGAUAAAUAAAUGGAUGGGAGAGAGCGGUUCAUUCAAUGAUGCCGGAUAACAUCAACAAAGAGUCUGGGCAACAUACUUCACAUAGAUUAAAACGACCAGAUUUGAGUUGACGGCUUCUGACGGCUUCAAAGCUCAAAAUAUCACAUUGAGCUUCUGUAAACUAUAUGUUUCCCGCGCUAAUCCACGAGCUGUCAUUGGUUGAAGAAGAGGAAAUACAAGAAGUAAGAAAAUGCCCGAAUCAAAAUGAAAACUGUGACACGGCUGGGCGCUUUAAGGAAACAGUAUCAGAAUCUAAACCACAACUCACGGCCUCUGGACCAUUCAUUUAUUGAAUUGUGGAUGAGGACAUCAGGACAACGUUACCUUGGUGUACAUAACUACAACUUUGUCGUCAAUGAACAUUUAAAGAAGCCUGCAAAUGACCAUUAAACUAGGAUGAAUUAGUAACAUAAUUGGAUACUACGGCGAAAGUGUCAGCAUAUAUUUUUCGUCCGUGUUAGGCAUAAAGUGGAAAAGCGAACAAGAGUAUUUUUAUCACGAUUAAUUUUGACUGAAUGUUGUUGAAGCAUUUCAUUUCGUUUCGUAGCUCUUAUCCAAAGUUGUUGCACAAGUAAUGUUUACAAGGAAAGAGAAAAUGGUUCACAAUCUUACAAAAUGUAGGAUGUUUAGUAAAACAGGACGCACAAAGUGACUGUCCUUAAAAUUGUAUUUCACCAAAACAGGCAGAGCUUUAUAACUUAAAGAUAAGGGUGUUUUCUAUUACUGCAGAAGACAGGUUGCUCGUGAUGUCUUCAUAUAUGUGUAGUUGAAACUUACUACAGUAUACCUGAUGAAUAUUUUUGCUUCGAAAAUAUUUUUGAUGAAAUGUUAUCUAAUAUUGAGAUAUUGUUGAGAGUAUUAGAAAUAUUUAGAAUCAGAUUUGAGCUGUACUUUGCGUACCCUGGGUGCCAGAGCCACAAAAUUUCGAGCACGGAAAUAAAAAACCAUGCGGAGAAGCGGAGGAGCAUUUAGCUGAAAGGAAGGUGCACUUUUUCCUUCCUCUCAGCUAAAUGCUCCUCCGCUUUUCCUGAUUUUGUUGUGGCUAUGGCACCCAGGGUAUACUUUGCGAAGAAGAUUGUUUUAACUUUCAUAUCCUAAGCCUAACUGUAGCAGUAUAUCAAUUUCUUACACAAAAUUACGAUAACAUAAAUAAUGCAUAAGAAAUACGAUGAGGCACAUAUUUCAAAGAAAGGGGGCAAGAGAAGGCAGAAAAGGGCACCUCCGCAAGCUAUAAAUGGCCACUAUUUUGGAAAGUCGCGCACCAUCCAGCCUCCCCGGUCCAUAAGUCUUCAUAGUUAUCUCAACCAACACAAGGGUAAUUGUAAUUGUAGAAAAAGAUGGUUGGUUUGGAAGAUAAUGCUGUAAAAAUAAAUUUCCUGAGCAUUAUUUUGAUUUCCGCCUCUAUUCUAAUGACAGACGACUUUUACAGUAAUCUGCAUUCUUUUGAAAGCGCUAUGUUUUGGUUUUAUUUGUAAUUGCUCAUUUAGAUGUGUAAUGACAACCAAGCAAAUUGAUGCAAGGAAGCCAAAAUGAUAAUAAACAGAAGUAUUUCCCUGUCUAAAGUAACAAUUAAAAAAACAGCUUGUGUGGAUCUGUGGAAGGGAGAGGCUUGGCAACCAAUGUUUGAAGAAACAGACUUGCCUUGUUGCCUUGACUGAUAUAUCGAACAUAUGCGAGCCAACAUUGGUGGCAAGCUAAAAUCUCUUCAGCAUUAUCAUGAAGAUUAAAGAGAACUCAUCAACGAAAACUUUAUUUUGGACAAUUGCUUCGCAAAUCGAUUUUCAGUUCUCGUCAAAUGGAAAAUAUUGACUUUUCUCUUGCAUGUAUGUAUCAAGAGAUGCUUGAAACCUAGAUUUCAUUAGCAUUCAAAAUAUGGACACGAAUCAAUAUCAGGACACUAUGAAUCAUUUAAAGAUAUCAAUUUCUUGAAAAGGGCAUUUUGCUGCCUCCCGUGCUGCCCCCGCACCACUAGGGCAACGGCGCCCUUGCCCCCUAGUUAGUACGCAAAAGUGGCCCUGAGUUUCAGUAAAUUCUAUGCUAUGACACUUGAAAAGUGUGUCGUAAUAAGUCAUCCACUGAGGUCUGCUAACUUUUUAUUAUUGUUUUCGGUCCCCAAGAUUCAACACUGUACGUGAAAACCAACAAUGCACUCGGCCUGACAUACUUUUUAUUUUAUAAGAAUCUGCUAACUUCGGCCGGGGUUCGAUGUUCUUAAUUCAUGGAUAAUUUCUGGCUCGAGUUUUUUAUGUUCUUCUUAUUUCAGUUGAAUUUAUUUGUCUACAAGUACCCACAAUGAACUGUCUAUAAGGCCAUUAAACAUCAGCUUCGAAUGACAAUUUCAGUACAAAUCUACUCUGUUUUUUUAGACUUUCAAAAAUCUGGUUGGUUUUUUCUUGUAAUUUCCAUCUUACUCUUCACGUUCUUGUAUUGAAAAAGAUAUCUUAACGUAG